rnacentral:rRNA from 1 species
AGCGGGAAUCUUCCGCAAUGGACGAAAGUCUGACGGAGCAACGCCGCGUGAGUGAAGAAGGAUUUCGGUUUGUAAAACUCUGUUGUUAGGGAAGAAUGAUUGUAUAGUAACUAUAUACAGUAGCGACGGUACCUAACCAGAAAGCCACGGCUAACUACGUGCCAGCAGCCGCGGUAAUACGUAGGUGGCAAGCGUUGUCCGGAAUUAUUGGGCGUAAAGCGCGCGCAGGUGGUUUAAUAAGUCUGAUGUGA